CUUUUUCGGAAGGUAUGCUUAAAGAGGGGCUUGCGUCACAUUAGUUAGUUGGCAGGGUAAAGGCCUACCAAGACUAUGAUGUGUAGCUGGACUGAGAGGUUGAACAGCCACAUUGGGACUGAGACACGGCCCAAACUCCUACGGGAGGCAGCAGUAGGGAAUUUUCGGCAAUGGAGGAAACUCUGACCGAGCAACGCCGCGUGAACGAUGAAGUAUUUCGGUAUGUAAAGUUCUUUUAUUGAAGAAGAAAAAAUAGUGGAAAAACUAUCUUGACGAUAUUCAAUGAAUAAGCCCCGGCAAACUAUGUGCCAGCAGCCGCGGUAAUACAUAGGGGGCGAGCGUUAUCCGGAAUUAUUGGGCGUAAAGGGUGCGUAGGCGGUUUAAUAAGUCUAUAGUUUAAUUUCAGUGCUUAACACUGUCCUGCUAUAGAAACUAUUAGACUAGAGUGAGAUAGAGGCAAGUGGAAUUCCAUGUGUAGCGGUAAAAUGCGUAAAUAUAUGGAGGAACACCAGAGGCGUAGGCGGCUUGCUGGGUCUUUACUGACGCUGAGGCACGAAAGCGUGGGGAGCAAACAGGAUUAGAUACCCUGGUAGUCCACGCCGUAAACGAUGAGUACUAAGUGUCGGGAUUACUCGGUACUGAAGUUAACACAUUAAGUACUCCGCCUGAGUAGUACGUACGCAAGUAUGAAACUUAAAGGAAUUGACGGGACUCCGCACAAGCGGUGGAUCAUGUUGUUUAAUUCGAAGAUACACGAAAAACCUUACCAGGUCUUGACAUACUCUGCAAAGCUAUAGCAAUAUAGUGGAGGUUAUCAGGGAUACAGGUGGUGCAUGGUUGUCGUCAGCUCGUGUCGUGAGAUGUUAGGUUAAGUCCUAAAACGAGCGCAACCCUUGUCAUUAGUUGCCAGCAUGUCAUGAUGGGCACUUUAAUGAGACUGCCAAUGAAAAAUUGGAGGAAGGUGAGGAUCACGUCAAAUCAUCAUGCCCCUUAUGAUCUGGGCUACAAACGUGAUACAAUGGCUGUUACAAAGAGUAGCUGAAACGCAAGUUUAUAGCCAAUCUCAUAAAAGCAGUCUCAGUUCGGAUUGAAGUCUGCAACUCGACUUCAUGAAGUUGGAAUCGCUAGUAAUCGCGAAUCAGCA
rnacentral:rRNA from 1 species